GAUGAACGCUGGCGGCGUGCCUAAUACAUGCAAGUCGAACGCGAGAGGAGGGAGCUUGCUCCCUCUGAUCGAGUGGCGGACGGGUGAGUAACACGUAGGCAACCUGCCCAUCAGCCGGGGAUAACUGCGGGAAACCGUGGCUAAUACCGGAUAAUCCUCUCCACCGCGGGGUGGGGAGUUGAAAGACGGUUUCGGCUGUCGCUGAUGGAUGGGCCUGCGGCGAAUUAGCUGGUUGGCGGGGUAACGGCCCACCAAGGCAACGAUGCGUAGCCGACCUGAGAGGGUGAUCGGCCACACUGGGACUGAGACACGGCCCAGACUCCUACGGGAGGCAGCAGUAGGGAAUCUUCCGCAAUGGACGCAAGUCUGACGGAGCAACGCCGCGUGAGUGAAGAAGGCUUUCGGGUCGUAAAACUCUGUUGUUAGGGAAGAACAAGUGCUAGUUGAAUAAGCUGGCACCUUGACGGUACCUAACCAGAAAGCCACGGCUAACUACGUGCCAGCCGCCGCCGUAA
rnacentral:rRNA from 1 species